ACAAAUUCUCAUACUUUAUUAUUAGCCAUAAAUUGCAUUUUCUCCUUCAUAGCACCUAUCCAAAAAUCAGGCUGGGUACAGCUCAUAGCAUUAUGAUAUGUUACUAGAUCAACCAUAUGCCCAAUGUCAUAAUCACUUUCCCCAAGGUAGAUAAGGAAAUUAUCAGAAAUGGCAUGCCUCCUUUAUCUAGCAGAUCUCCUUAAUGACACCUCCUCAACAGGUUAAACUGGUUGAAGAUUCUCAACAUGAGCAGGAGGAUCACAAGCCUAAAUAUCCAUUCUAUCAAUAGAUGUAGGAACUACAUUCUCAUAUGAUAUGGACAUAUGAAUGGACAUAGUCUCAAUGUGACUAUUGUUAAUAUCAAUAGUCUGGGAAAAUUGAACAUUAGCCACAUCAAAUUCUAAAAAUUCAGCAGUU
rnacentral:lncRNA from 1 species